rnacentral:rRNA from 1 species
UACGUAGGGGGCUAGCGUUGUCCGGAAUCAUUGGGCGUAAAGAGCGUGUAGGCGGCCCGGUAAGUCCGCUGUGAAAGUCGGGGGCUCAACCCUCGAAUGCCGGUGGAUACUGUCGGGCUAGAGUGCGGAAGAGGCGAGUGGAAUUCCUGGUGUAGCGGUGAAAUGCGCAGAUAUCAGGAGGAACACCAAUUGCGAAGGCAGCACUCUGGGACGUGACUGACGCUGAGACGCGAAAGCGUGGGGAGCAAACAGG